CCUAGUGGCGGACGGGUGAGUAACGCGUGGGAACCUACCCAGGAGCGGGGAAUAACCAUUGGAAACGAUGGCUAAUACCGCAUACGCCCUGAGGGGGAAAGGCUUCGGCCACUUUUGGAUGGUCCCGCGUCCGAUUAGCUUGUUGGCGGGGUAACGGCCCACCAAGGCGACGAUCGGUAGCUGGUCUGAGAGGAUGAUCAGCCACACUGGGACUGAGACACGGCCCAGACUCC
rnacentral:rRNA from 1 species